rnacentral:lncRNA from 1 species
AUGAUGAGAACUUCUUCCUCAACUUCUCACCUUAUGAACGAGGACACGUGUGUUCCUGCGUCUGCUGACGAAUCCAGAACCUCAGAGGACGAGGACACGGACACUCAGUCUGUGUCUGAAACUCAGUCAACGACACCAAAGAUCGUCAGCGUGAGAGGGUCAUGUCCACCCACAGAUACGGACGCCGUGGCCGCUGGCGUGUCUGUGAUGACGCUGGUGAAGAAGAGCGAGGGCGGGACGGUUUACAACAAGAGGUUCUACUGCCUCUACUGCUCCAAGCCUCAAGGCAAAAUGGCCCGACACCUCGAACGCAAACAUCAACAUGAGCCCGAGGUGGAGCGGGCGUUCACGUUCCUAAAGGGCUCCGUGGAGCGCUGCGUACGCCUCAGGCUACUGACCAACCGAGGGAACCGCGCCCACAACAUCCAGGUGCUGAGGGAGGGGCGGGGCCUAACCAUCCCACUGAAGCAGUCCAACGCGCCUGUGAACGCCAGCGACUACACGCACUGCUUUAACUGCGAGGCGUUUUUAAAAAGGAAGUUCCUACGGCGUCACAUGCAGACGUGCCAGGAAAGAGUACGAUGGGAGGCGGACGAGAGGGCGGUCCACAAUGCUCUGAAGGCCCCGCCCACACGCCGCCUAAACUCAGACUUCCUGAAGCUGCUGCGGGAAAUGCAUCAGGACCAGGUGACGGAGGCCGUGUGCAGCGACAGGUACGUCCUGAAGCUGGAGGAGGAGCUCUUCCUGAAGCGAGAGUACAUCAGACAGAGAAUGCGCGACACAGGCCGACUGCUUCUUCAGGGUUGGACCACGGGAAAACUUCAAACCAUCACCGACUUUGUUCUUCCUACCAACUUUCCCUCUGCGCCGCAGCUUUGUGUGUUUGCAGAAGACGUGAGAACUAUUCACCGAUAUCUGAACACGCAGAGGAAGGAGCUGCAAAGCAUGCUGGGAGAGUAACCCAGUCAGGAGAGGUGGGAGGAGCUUGCAGAGCUCACGCUGUGUGAGGUGAUGCUGUUUAACGGUCACAGUGACCAGGACGUGUCUGACAUGCAUCUGACAGCGUUGUCAUGUGAUGUUCACCUGGACCAGAACGUCAUGCCGUCCAAACGUGAGGAGAUGCUCAGGAAGAACUUCAUCCACCUGCAGAUACGAGACAGGAACGCUCAGAACGCGCCCGUGUUCGUCACUGCCCACGCGCUGGCGUCCAUGAAGCUGCUGGUCAUGACUCGUCUGAGGUGCGACGUUCCUCAGGAGAACCACUUCCUGUUUGCCCGCCCACAGGACCUGGGUCACCUCAGCGGGUCAGACGCUAUCUGUCACGUCGCUCAGACGUGUGGAGUCAAACACGCCGAGGCCAUGGCGUCAGGAAAGCUACGGACGCACACGGCGGCCAUGUUGGAGGUUCUGGUCCUACAGGACAGGGACCACCUGACGGAGCUGCUGGGCCAGGGACCCCAUGUUUCCUACCAGGACGCCACGCUGCAGGACGGGACCUCCACCAGGUCUGCCUCCAGCCCAGAGGUGGGUGUAGUUAAAAUAGUAAAUACUAACUAGUUUAAAACUAAUUAAAGCGUUUGGUUUAACUUGUACAGUAGAAGAAUAGAUAGA